CCUACGGGUGGCUGCAGUCGAGAAUCAUUCACAAUGGGGGAAACCCUGAUGGUGCGACGCCGCGUGGGGGAAUGAAGGUCUUCGGUUUGUAAACCCUUGUCAUGUGGGAGCAAAUUAAAAAGAUAGUACCAUAAGCGGAAGCGACGGCUAACUCAGCCCCAGCAGCAGCGGUAAUACAGAGGGCUCAAGCGUUGUUCGGAAUCACUGGGCGUAACGCGUGCGGAGGCGGUUUCGUAAGGCGUGUGUGAAAGGCGCUGGCUCAACCCGCGGACGGCAUAUGAUACUGUGAGACUAGAGUAAGGGAGAGGGAACCGGAAUUCUUGGUGUAGCAGUUAAAUGCGUAGAGAUCGAGAGGAACACUCGUUGCGAAGGCGAGUUCCUGGACAUUAACUGACGCUGAUGCACGAAGGCGAGGGGAGCGAACGGGAUUAGAUACCCCAGUAGUC
rnacentral:rRNA from 1 species